rnacentral:tRNA from 2 species
GCCCCAGUAGCUCAGAGGCCAGAGCGCCCGCCUUGUAAGCGGAUGGUCGCCGGUUCGACUCCGGCCUGGGGCU